UGUACCCCAACUAUGUCGGGUGACUAUGAGUCAAGAAGAUCAGUACCAUCUCCUACCAUUGUUUAUAUAUGUCACCCUUACCACAAGGAACGAGUUUCCUUGUUGGGGGCAAGUUUGGAUAUAGAGUAUCCUGAUCAGAAGAGUUCUUCAGAUGAAAAGCCUUGAACGCCUUGCUGAAAUAUGAAUUAGAGAGACCAGAGAGAUGGUUUUAUUUUUGAAAUGCUGACACCAGCUUAGCUGCAGCAUUGUCAACAGGGAAUGCUAGUACAGAGAGACUUAAAUGAUGCUGUCAUGUUGAUUAUAAAUCAAUCACAAUCAGAUGUCCCUGCAGAAGUGACCAAUAUACAGAGGAGACAGCCUGGCUUUCUUCAAGCAAGUCAAUAAGGAAUGAACAUGCUUUACCUCCAAGACAGACUAAAUGAAAGCAAGAGAAAUAAAGUUUUAAACUGAAUUUUGGAUACACCUAUGCACUCUUGGGAGAAACAUGGCUUUCAGUGUUUCAGUGUUGUCUCCCCGACAAUCCUUUUAGCUUUGACCAUAGGCCUUGUAUUUGGGCUCAUAAAAAAAGGGGUGCACCUUUGUUUACUCUGUGUAAAUAAAACUCCUCUGUGUGGUUUACACCCCAUCCUUCCCAGGUUGGUUCCUUCAGAUAAAGUUUUCUAUACAGUCCAGUUUGGGUAUUUGAAAAGAUGAAGCUUUGUCUUUUCCUUAAAGAACAAAAAAUAUUUGCAUUUUUUUCUGAAACAAAUAAUCUGUUUUCCCUUUGCCUGCUGCACCUUUCUUGGUUUAGCUGCUUAUCAGAAGAAAUGGAGAGGUCUCAGAUAUGAAUUCUUAACAAUCUACAUCAAGGAAAUGAGACAGAAACUUUAAUAAAAAACUCUUACAUGUUCAUUCAGUAUUUAACUACAGUACAUGCCAAUGCAAUGAAAUAAUUUAACUAAAAUAUCUAAUUUUUUGUAAUGUUUCUCUUGUUCUCUCACCGUGGGCGGAUGGAGGGGAGAGGGGUAGAACAGAUACAACCUGAAUUCCUAUUGUAAAAAUAAGCAGAAUAAAAUUUUCUUUUGACAAAAAAAUCAUAAAUAAGAACAAAGGGCACAGUUCAUUUUCCUCCCUCGAACCCCUCUCUGAAGGUCAGUUCUGAUUCUCCUGUAUCCCAGUGACAGAUGACAAUAGAUAAUACUUUAAAUUACCUUUUCUUCCUC